GAAGAAGAAGAAGAAGAAGAAGAAGAAGAAGACCAACAAGUUGAAGGAGCAGAAGAAGGAAAAGUGGAAAAGUCUUUCUGGGAGGAGUGAAGAAGGACAAAAUGGAGGACGCAGAAUUCCCAAAGGAAUUGUUUGGUAAGAGCAGCGGGGGGGGGGGGGGUGUUAAUAUUUGGGACAAGAAGCGACAGAUAGAAGGAUCAAUUCCAUUUGUUUUCAUGCCAUUUUGUAUAAGACGGACGGAAUCCCACUGGAGUUUCAGGCGCUUCUUGAAAUGGUGCUGGACAGCCAGUCAUAACGCGGUGGGCGGGGCGUGUGUCACCUAGAACACAAGCAGGAUUCGUAACGGAUCGUCGGUACGGCACUAUUUGAGGCCGUUCUAAAUAAUAGACUGUCGUGCUGCACUUGAGUAACUGAGCAGCUCAGACUGACACCCGAAAUGCACCGCAUAUUAAAAUCCGGAAGAACAUUUUUCUAUCAGAUGGUAAAAAGUCAAAAUGGACGUCUGGGUCAAACGGCGUUCCGUCAACGCGGCGCCACACUCGCCUCGAAUGCGUCUUCGGUGUUGUCGCCGUCUCGUUCCGCAGACGGCGUGCAGGAGGCGGCGGGGCGGAGCCUCAACUUGACCCUGAGGUGCCGGGCCCAGCCGGAGGUCAAAGGUGAAAAGGCGGACGACAAAGUGCUGGCUUUGGCAUCCGAUCGAGCCUUCUUGUUGUCAGCGCACGUCCCCCCCAAGGUGGAGCACUCCUUCAGCUACCUGGACAUCCAGCGUCUCCAUAGCAACAAGCCCACUCAGGUGUCGCUGGAGUGCCGGCGCGGUGGACCGUGUACGCUGUGGUUUAGUUCCCAGAAGGACAGCGACCGGGUCGUCGGCCACGUGGGCUCCCGUCUCGUGCGGAUCUGCCCGGACAUGAGUUUGCUGAAGAGGUUUCACGUGAUGCCCGCCGAACGAUGGGUCGCCCUCCGGGGGGUCUGGGAGCGGCAGGGUGCUGUGGACCUGGGGCCUUGCGGAGGAUUCUCGGAUCAGUACCGUGCUGUCUGCGACAACCUAGACCUGGUCUACAGGGAGGAGGUCCAGUGGGAUGUGGACACCAUCUAUCUGAGUCAAGACACCACAGAACUCAACCUCCGAGACUUCAGUCACCUGGACAGCAGGGAUCUUGCGGCCGUUGUCGCCACUCUGGAGGUCAACAAGUGGUUCACCGGGCUGGUCGUCCGAGACUACAAACUGUCUACGGACGUGUGUGAGCAGAUUCUGCACGUGAUGUCCCGGUCCAGUUGUUUGGAGGAGCUGGUCCUGGAAAACGCUGGUCUCAGAAGUGAUUUUGCCCAAAAACUGUCCUUGGCACUGAGUGCCAACCCCGCCUCCACGCUGCACAACCUGAACCUGAGCAACAACCCGCUAGACGACAAAGGCGUGUGCGCUCUGAGCGCUCAGCUGGGCAAACUCGCGAAGGGUCUGAAGCAACUGAACCUCGGCCGGACCUCCGUGUCCUCCAAAGGGGCCGACGUCCUGUGUCAGGCGCUGCGCGCCGACCCCGGCGUGGCCGCCACUCUCACGCACCUGCGCUUGUCCGGAAACUCGCUCCGAGGAGACGAGCUGCAGAACUUCCUGAGUGGAGAGAACCGCUUAGAAGUUCUGGAUCUGUCCAGCAGCGACUGCUCACUGGAGCAGACUGCGGGCUCUCUUCUCAAAGGAUGUUUAAAGCAUCUCCGCGUGCUGAACAUGUCGAAGACGCCCUUUUGGCACAGGAAGAGCAGGGAGGUUCCUCCGUCCUUCAAGCAGUUCUUCAGCCUGUCCCGGGCUCUGAGCUCCGUCGACGUGUCCGGCUGCAGACUUCCCGCCGAGGCUCUCAAGGCGCUGCUGCUGGGUCUGGGCUGCAACCCCAAUCUGAGCGACGUGUCUCUGGACCUGAGCGGCUGCGAGCUGCGUUCGGCAGGCUCUCAGAUCCUGGAGGGCUGCAUCGCGGAGAUCCCCAACAUCUCCAGUUUGGACAUCUCCGACAACGGUCUGGACGGGGACCUGAGCACCCUGCUGGCGUGGCUGGCCAAGAACCGCUCGAUCCGCCACCUUUCAUUGGGAAGAAACUUCCACAAUAUCAAGUCCAAGAACGUGGCUGCGGUCCUGGACGACCUGGUCCGCAUGAUCCAAGAAGAGGAGUCACCACUGACCUCGCUGUCGCUGGCUGACUCCAAGCUGAAGGGUGACCUGGCCGUGGUCCUCAACGCCCUGGGAAGCAACACCUCGCUCACAAAGCUGGACAUCCGAGGGAACGCCAUGGGCGAUAUGGGCGCCAAAAUGCUGGCCAAGGCCCUGCAGAUCAACACCAAGCUCAGGACGCUUUUGUGGGACCGCAACAACGUCAGCGCCCGGGGACUGCAGGAAGUGGCGUCCGCGUUGGAGACGAACUUCACCAUUCGCUUCAUGCCAGUUCCCAUCACGGACGCCGCCCAGGCGCUCAAGACCAACCCGGAAAAGACCGAAGACGCGCUGAUGAAGAUCGAGCACUUCCUGCUGAGGAACCACGAGACUCGCAAGUACCUCCAGGAACAGGCGUACCGGCUGCAGCAGGGCAUCGUCACCAGCGCCACGCAGCAGCUGAUGGACACCAUGUGUGUGAAGGUUCAGGAUCAUCUCAACUCACUCACGUUCACCCAGAGCCCCACUGUCCGAAAGGAUAUGAAGAUCGCCGAAAACCUGAUGACCGACGCGAGGAACUCCAAGACUCUGCUCCGCAACCUCUACCACUUGGGGGGCGACGGUCUACGCGUGGCCGUUCGGGACAAACUGGAGUCCGUGGCGGGGGAGGUCUCGGCCCUGAUGGAUGAGGAGCUGGAGACGAUGCUGGCGUCCAUGUUGGAAGUGACCUCGGGUUUGUGUCCUCACGUGAUGAAGACGAGCGGCCUCGCUCCAGAUCUGCUGCGGGCGUGCGCGGUGAAGAUGAGCGUCCCUCGCGGUUUCAUCACCAAGACGCUCCUGGAGCAGACAGGCGUGGACAUCCUCAACAAGAUCAGUGAGCUGAAACUCAGCGCGGCGUCCUUAAUCUCCGAUCGCAUCGUGGACCAGAUCCUGGACUCCUUGUCCACGCGGUGCCACACGCUGGCCGACCACGUGAGCAGGCAGGGGCGACCUGCGCUACGUCCGGAGUCUCAGGCGGAAACCGAAGUUCUGGAUGAGACGGUCCUCGACGGGGAAGCCCAAGUGGAGGCGUCUGUUACGACGGCUAAAUCCAAACGGAAGAGUAUUCUGGUGCGGAUGGUGCGACCAGUUUCGGCGGCACAUGAGAUGGAAUUGGACCUGGAUCAGGCUCUUCAGGAGGUGCCAGUCCACGUGUUGGACUUGCCGCCCUCGUGUCGGCCAAACCUUGCGCAGCCAUCAUUCCCGCCUCUGGCGUCACCGCCUCCACUGGAGCAUCACACCAAAGUGAGACCCAAAGCCAGGAGGCGGACCAAACCUCGUCGAGUCACGUGCGAGGCACCGGCGGGGUCGGAGAGUCAGACCCCGCUGGGAAAGGUGGACGAAGGGGUGGCCGAGUUCUUCUCCAAGAAAGUCCUGAAUGUCAGCUUGAAAGGCGCCCCCGCACAAGUGACGACGUCCAACAAGCGCCAGUUGGCUGACAAGAAACGGGACUCCAGGGGGAGCGGCUUCUUCAACCUCAUCAAAGUUCGGACAUCCCGCUCGGACAAGGGCCAGGCGCGCUCCGGGUUCCCCGCUCCCACGCGGUCGCCUAUAUCCCCUGCCCUCGCGCCGGCCACACCCUCCGUCACCGGGGAGCCCCCGCCGGCAUCCCCGUCGUCGCCACGCCAGCCGUCCCCGAGGUUUCCGAAGCGCAACGACGAGUACUCUGACACAAACGUGUCGGCGCCUUCUGCCGGAGCGGCUGAAAGCGACGGCCCCGCCCUUCCGAGGCACGCGGGCAUUCCCGUCACGGGCGCCGACCUCCUGGCGGAGAUGAAAGCACGCCAGGAGAAAAUGGCCGCUCGAAAGUCGCAGUCACCGAGGGAAGAUGACGACGACGACGACCGCACAGGCACAGACCACCACGGACCAGAGGCCGCCCCGAGGUCCAAAACCUCCGCCCUCAGCCCCGAAUCCCCGCCCGGUCCCUCCAGCCCCAGCGCCGCUCUUGGGCCGCGGAAUUCGACGACGGGCGCCGCCAGGGUUCCAAUUCCAGCUCCUCGCCUGCGGAGGUCGCCGACUGAGCACGAAGGACGCGACGUGCUCGCCGCCAACGCUACAGUAAUGCCGUGACUAAAGUUCUACUCUUCUGGCACGAGCGAGUAAUGCUCUGCCUCGAACCCUACAAACAAACCACCGCACGCUGCCUUCCGGCGGCGGCGCCGCGGAGGCGCUGGUCCUCUCUCAAGGCGUCGGAGUCGCGCCCGAGUCCGGACGGGCGCCGGCGAGCCAAGUCUCUACCCGCCUCCC